GCAAACUUGGUCAUUUAGAGGAAGUAAAAGUCGUAACAAGGUUUCCGUAGGUGAACCUGCGGAAGGAUCAUUAACGAAAUGUUUUGCCGUGAAGGGCUGCUGCUGGCCUUGUGAAACCAGGGCAUGUGCACGCCUGGAUCUGCAUCCCCACAUACACACCUGUGCACAAACCUUGGGUAGAUUCGUCUGGGGAUGCCAACGGCGGAUGAGGCAAAGCUUUUGUCUGUCUUGUCGGAUGCCCCAGCCGGGUUUGCACUACUUUUCUACAAACACAUAAAUAUGUAUCAGAAAGUCAAAGUUUGAGUAGCGCCUCAGCGAGCGUGAAUAAAAUACAACUUUCAGCAACGGAUCUCUUGGCUCUCGCAUCGAUGAAGAACGCAGC
rnacentral:misc_RNA from 1 species